ACGAUCACGCCUACGGGUGGCUGCAGUCGAGAAUCAUUCACAAUGGGGGAAACCCUGAUGGUGCGACGCCGCGUGGGGGAAUGAAGGUCUUCGGAUUGUAAACCCCUGUCAUGUGGGAGCAAAUUAAAAAGAUAGUACCACAAGAGGAAGAGACGGCUAACUCUGUGCCAGCAGCCGCGGUAAUACAGAGGUCUCAAGCGUUGUUCGGAAUCACUGGGCGUAAAGCGUGCGUAGGCUGUUUCGUAAGUCGUGUGUGAAAGGCGCGGGCUCAACCCGCGGACGGCACAUGAUACUGCGAGACUAGAGUAAUGGAGGGGGAACCGGAAUUCUCGGUGUAGCAGUGAAAUGCGUAGAUAUCGAGAGGAACACUCGUGGCGAAGGCGGGUUCCUGGACAUUAACUGACGCUGAGGCACGAAGGCCAGGGGAGCGAAAGGGAUUAGAUACCCCUGUAGUCCUGGCAGUAAACGGUGCACGCUUGGUGUGCGGGGAAUCGACCCCCUGCGUGCCGGAGCUAACGCGUUAAGCGUGCCGCCUGGGGAGUACGGUCGCAAGAUUAAAACUCAAAUGAAUUGACGGGG
rnacentral:rRNA from 1 species